UCAGUCUCUCAGUAGAGUGUAACUGUAGCCAGAGUCAGUCUCUCAGUAGAGUGUAACUGUAGCCAGCGCCAGUCUCUCAGUAGAGUGUAACUGUAGCCAGCGUCAGUCUCUCAGUAGAGUGUAACUGUAGCCAGAGUCAGUCUCUCAGUAGAGUGUAACUGUAGCCAGCGUCAGUCUCUCAGUAGAGUGUAACUGUAGCCAGCGUCAGUCUCUCAGUAGAGUGUAACUGU